rnacentral:lncRNA from 1 species
GAGAAAAUGGAGAGACAAUUCUCACCCAUUUUCACCCAAAAUAAACCCUUAAUUUUUCCUUAAUGAAUUUUGGCUAUAAAGUCAUUUAUAUAGUCACUUGUUUAAGUAACCUAAACAACCAAAACCCUAAUUCAUCUAAUAUGGCCGGCCAUUUAGGGAUGUUUGGGCUUUUGGGCCUUUGUGAAUCUUUAUUCAUUAAGUUGUCAUACAUCUUAAGUCAAUGGGC